rnacentral:pre_miRNA from 1 species
UGUCUAUUCCCUUUUUCCAAUAAAAGAUGUCUCAAGUUUGUUAAAAUUUGAACUUAACUAGACAUGACUUAGUGUACAGAUGCAUUCAAAUUUAGUCAAAGUUGAGACAUUUUUCGUUGGACGGAGGGAGUAGUUA